AUAAAGUUUUAUUGUAGCUUUGUAGUUGUUUUUCUGGUUCAUGUAUAUAUGGAUUUUAUUGCCUGUUGUUUAAAGAGUUAUUUGUUGUAGUAUGUAAUUUUAAGUAUUAACUGGGGUUAGACUUGGGGAAUUAAUUUAGUAUAAACUUAAUUUGUGCCAGCAGUAGCGGUUAUACAAAUUAUGCAGGACAAUUUCUAUAAGAUUAAUUGGGAGUAAAUUGACGGAUUUUUCAUAGGAUUUUUUAGGUGAAAUUUUAUUUCUUAUUUUGGUCUGAUUUUCUUUCUUUGUUUAGUAAACUUUUAUUUAAACUAGGAUUAGAUACCCUACUAUUUUAAGUGUGAGCGUUUUGUCUUUAAUUAUUAAUAGUUAAGUUCUUUAAAGUUAAAAAAUUUGGCGGUAUUUUAGUCUGUUCAGAGGAACCUGUCUUUUAAUCGAUAGUCCACGAUUAGCUUUACUUUGAUUAUAAAAUUUAUAUAUCGUUGUUUAUAAAAAUUUCAGGAGGAUAAUUAAUUUUUGUUAUAUUUUAUUAAAUAGUAUUUCAGAUCAAGGUGUAGUUUAUAUUGAAGAUGGGAUGGGUUACAUUAUAUUUACAUGUGGUUUGCUGGCUUUAAUAGCUGGAAUAAAUUGGAUUUGAUAGUAAUUACUAAUUAUUUGCGUUUUGAUUUAGCUCUAAAAUAUGCACAUAUCGCCCGUCGCUUUCAUUUUAAUGUGAAAUAAGUCGUAACAAAGUAGGCUUAUUGGAAAAUGAGCCUGGAAUGAC
rnacentral:ncRNA from 1 species